AUUGAACGCUGGCGGCGUGCUUAACACAUGCAAGUCGUGCGGUAACAGGCGUAGCAAUACGUGCUGACGAGCGGCGAACGGGUGCGUAAUACAUGGGAAUCUGCCCUUUAGUGGGGAAUAACCCGGCGAAAGCCGGGCUAAUGCCGCAUAAGAUCUUCGGAUGAAAGCGGGGGAUCGUAAGACCUCGCGCUGAUGGAUGAGCCCAUGUCGGAUUAGCAGUUGGUGAGGUAACGGCUCACCAAGGCGACGAUCCGUAGCUGGUCUGAGAGGACGGCCAGCCACACUGGGACUGAGACACGGCCCAGACUCCUACGGGAGGCAGCAGUGGGGAAUAUUGGACAAUGGGGAAACCCUGAUCCAGCGACGCCGCGUG
rnacentral:rRNA from 1 species